rnacentral:tRNA from 1 species
GCCGCGGUAGCUCAGUGGUAGAGCAAACGACUGAAAAUCGUUGGGUCGCCAGUUCAAUUCUGGCCCGCGGCA